AUUGAACGCUGGCGGCAUGCUUUACACAUGCAAGUCGAACGGCAGCGCGGGGCAACCUGGCGGCGAGUGGCGAACGGGUGAGUAAUAUAUCGGAACGUACCCAGAAGUGGGGGAUAACGUAGCGAAAGUUACGCUAAUACCGCAUACGAUCUACGGAUGAAAGUGGGGGACCUUCGGGCCUCAUGCUUGUGGAGCGACCGAUAUCUGAUUAGCUAGUUGGUAGGGUAAAGGCCUACCAAGGCGACGAUCAGUAGCUGGUCUGAGAGGACGACCAGCCACACUGGGACUGAGACACGGCCCAGACUCCUACGGGAGGCAGCAGUGGGGAAUUUUGGACAAUGGGCGCAAGCCUGAUCCAGCAAUGCCGCGUGAGUGAAGAAGGCCUUCGGGUUGUAAAGCUCUUUUGUCAGGGAAGAAACGGCGAUUUCUAAUACAGAUUGCUAAUGACGGUACCUGAAGAAUAAGCACCGGCUAACUACGUGCCAGCCGCCGCAGUAA
rnacentral:rRNA from 1 species